AUUGAACGCUGGCGGCAGGCCUAACACAUGCAAGUCGAACGAGAGGCGGACGGGUGAGUAAUGUCUGGGAACCUGCCUGUUGGAGGGGGAUAACUACUGGAAACGGUAGCUAAUACCGCAUACCAUCGGAUGUGCCCAGAUGGGUUUAGCUAGUAGGUGGGGUAAAGGCUCACCUAGGCGACGAUCCCUAGCUGGUCUGAGAGGAUGACCAGCCACACUGGAACUGAGACACGGUCCAGACUCCUACGGGAGGCAGCAGUGGGGAAUAUUGCACAAUGGGCGCAAGCCUGAUGCAGCCAUGCCGCGUGUAUGAAGAAGGCCUUCGGGUUGUAAAGUACUUUCAGCGGGGAGGCGUUAACCGCAGAAGAAGCACAGGCUAACUCCGUGCCAGCAGCCGCGGUAAUUA
rnacentral:rRNA from 1 species